UACGUAGGGGGCAAGCGUUGUCCGGAUUUAUUGGGCGUAAAGAGCGUGUAGGCGGCUUCACAGGUCCGCUGUGAAAACGCGAGGCUCAACCUCGCGCCUGCAGUGGGUACGGGCAGACUAGAGUGCGGUAGGGGAGAUUGGAAUUCCUGGUGUAGCGGUGGAAUGCGCAGAUAUCAGGAGGAACACCGAUGGCGAAGGCAGAUCUCUGGGCCGUAACUGACGCUGAGGAGCGAAAGCGUGGGGAGCGAACAGG
rnacentral:rRNA from 1 species